GUCAGUUUGGCAAGCCAGGCAGGACUCUCCAAUCGAGGACCAGAUCGUCCCGGCAUUGGAUGUCUUGCAUGCACCAGAAUCUUUUCUCCAGGAAUCUCCUCUUCCAGGUAAUCUGGAACCCAAUGGCAUGGUCCCGUGCAGCAGACUAAGAAAAAUCUAAAAUGGCAAUUGGAAAGAAGACAUACUGGAUUCAUGUUGAUCUUUACACAAGGAAAGAAGUUAGAAUUGAUUCUUUUAGACACUGUGAGGUUCAAUCAAGCCUACUCACCAAGGAAGCAUUCUACUCCUGUCUGUGCUGCAUCUCCACUCUGCUCUCACGCUGAACACCAGCAGCCCCAUCCCGGGCUGCACACAGCACUGCACACAGCACCCCAAAUGUGUGGCUGUGGAUAAAGAUCCAGCUGCUGUGCUGUCACCCUUUAAUCGUGG
rnacentral:lncRNA from 1 species